rnacentral:rRNA from 1 species
UACGGAGGGUGCAAGCGUUAAUCGGAAUUACUGGGCGUAAAGGGUGCGUAGGUGGUUAGAUAAGUUAUCUGUAAAAUCCCCGGGCUUAACCUGGGCAGGUCAGAUAAGACUGUUUGACUCGAGUAUGGGAGAGGGUAGUGGAAUUUCCGGUGUAGCGGUGAAAUGCGUAGAGAUCGGAAGGAACACCAGUGGCGAAGGCGGCUACCUGGCCUAAUACUGACACUGAGGUGCGAAAGCGUGGGGAGCAAACAGG